AACGAACGCUGGCGGCAUGCCUAACACAUGCAAGUCGAACGAGACCUUCGGGUCUAGUGGCGCACGGGUGCGUAACGCGUGGGAACCUGCCCUUAGGUUCGGAAUAACUCCCCGAAAGGGGUGCUAAUACCGGAUAAUGUCUUCGGACCAAAGAUUUAUCGCCUUUGGAUGGGCCCGCGUUGGAUUAACUAGUUGGUAGGGUAAAAGCCUACCAAGGGGACGAUCCAUAGCUGGUCUGAUAGGAUGAUCAGCCACACUGGGACUGAGACACGGCCCAGACUCCUACGGGAGGCAGCAGUGGGGAAUAUUGGACAAUGGGCGAAAGCCGGAUCCAGCAAUGCCGCGUGAGUGAUGAAGGCCUUAGGGUUGUAAAGCUCUUUUACCCGGGAUGAUAAUGACAGUACCGGGAGAAUAAGCUCCGGCUAACUCCGUG
rnacentral:rRNA from 1 species